AGGCAAUAGAUACCCGGGUAGUCCUAGCUGUAAACGGUGCACGUUUGGUGUGGGAGGCAACCCCUUCCGUGCCGAAAGCUAAACGCGAUAAAAACGUGCCGCCUGGGUAGUACGGUCGCAAGACUAAAACUCAAAGAAAUUGACGGGGACCCGCACAAGCGGUGGAGUAUGUGGCUUAAUUCGAUGCAACGCGAAGAACCUUACCAGGGCUUGACAUGUAUUGUAACCCCGGUGAAAGCCGGGCAGCAUGGAAACAUGCGCUUUACACAGGUGCUGCAUGGCUGUCGUCAGCUCGUGUCGUGAGAUGUUGGGUUAAGUCCCGCAACGAGCGCAACCCUUAUGAUUUGUUGCCACCGGUUCAUUCCGAGCACUCAAAUCAGACUGCCCAGAUUAACUGGGAGGAAGGUGGGGAUGACGUCAAGUCCGUAUGGCCCUUACGUCCUGGGCUGCACACGUACUACAAUGUCCAGUACAAAUUG
rnacentral:rRNA from 1 species